CCUAACACAUGCAAGCUGAGCGGUAGAGAUCUUUCGGGAUCUUGAGAGCGGCGUACGGGUGCGGAACACGUGUGCAACCUGCCUUUAUCAGGGGGAUAGCCUUUCGAAAGGAAGAUUAAUACUCCAUAAUAUAAUUUACGGCAUCGUGGAUUAUUGAAAACUCCGGUGGAUAGAGAUGGGCACGCGCAAGAUUAGAUAGUUGGUGAGGUAACGGCUCACCAAGUCGAUGAUCUUUAGGGGGCCUGAGAGGGUGAUCCCCCACACUGGUACUGAGACACGGACCAGACUCCUACGGGAGGCAGCAGUGAGGAAUAUUGGACAAUGGGUUAGCGCCUGAUCCAGCCAUCCCGCGUGAAGGACGACGGCCCUAUGGGUUGUAAACUUCUUUUGUACAGGGAUAAACCUAUCUACGUGUAGAUAGCUGAAGGUACUGUACGAAUAAGCACCGGCUAACUCCGUGCCAGCAGCCGCGGUAAUACGGAGGGUGCAAGCGUUAUCCGGAUUUAUUGGGUUUAAAGGGUCCGUAGGCGGAUGCGUAAGUCAGUGGUGAAAUCUCACAGCUCAACUGUGAAACUGCCAUUGAUACUGCGUGUCUUGAGUAAGGUAGAAGUGGCUGGAAUAAGUAGUGUAGCGGUGAAAUGCAUAGAUAUUACUUAGAACACCAAUUGCGAAGGCAGGUCACUAUGUCUUAACUGACGCUGAUGGACGAAAGCGUGGGGAGCGAACAGGAUUAGAUACCCUGGUAGUCCACGCCGUAAACGAUGCUAACUCGUUUUUGGGGCUUCGGCUUCAGAGACUAAGCGAA
rnacentral:rRNA from 1 species